CACCACGCCUGGCUGUAAAUUAGUCUUUAAUUUAAACAUUUCCUCAGCUCACUCUCUGCACCUGAUUUGGAUAGAAUAGGGUAGGAGUGUUUGAACUUUAAAUAUUAUUUUAAAGAGGUGGAUUUAUUCAAAGCAUGGAAAACGUUAGUUGUACCUUUCCUUCCUAAGGCGCUUUCUAAGGAAUCCAGCUUACAAUUUCUGUAGCUAUACUUUAUUUCCAGUCCCAAUCAGUCAUCAGGAUAUAGGAGUUUUAUUGAUCUGUGCAGUGUAUUCUAGUUAAAAAAAUUAUGCCAAAUCAAAUAAUUGAAUAGAUGCCCCAGUCAAAAUUCUCUAAACAUUACUGUUAUGUAUAGGCCAUACUAUAUAUACAAAGUAAAUCAUGAAUCAUUAAACACUAAACAUUACUAUUACGUAUAGGCCAUACUACAUAUACAAAGUAAAUCAUGAACCAUUAAACAGAACCAUGCAAUGCUUUUCUUUGUGAACCAGUGAUCAAAACCAAGCCCACGAGAACUAGAAAGUCUUAGGUCAAAUCAGUGUUAUUGGAGAAGAGAUCAAGUUAUUUGACCUUUUCUCGGAGACAAUUUAAGUCUGACACAUGAUCUUUACCCCCUGGAGAAGCAAAUUCGCAACUCACUGCACUAGAUUCACCCUGCAAUACAAUCUCUGAAAAUACACCUUCCACCUUCCAAACAAGUAUCAGAAGAUGAACUGCAUUCCAUUCAAAUCAUAAAAACUAUUUUGUACCGGUCAUCAGAAGCUAAUUCUGUACUUAUCGCACCUUGAGGGAGAUCUGCUGCUGCAUGAGAUAGACACAAGGGGCAAUUUAUUCAUGGAGAAGUGAGAGCAGCAGGAUGGAAAUGGGGGAAAGAACUUUAUCCCGGCCACUUCUGGGAGAGGGCAGAACAUCUCUGAUGGAAACGGGUGUUCCUGAUUCUAAGAAAUAAAUGCUCUGCUGUGUUGACAUGAAGCUACUCUGUUCAAAUUCAAGGGCAACAACAUUUUAUACAGCCUUACUCUCCCAAGAGAUGGGUUAAAAAACACACAUUGAGACAUAUUUUAGUAUGGGGUGGAGCUCCAUGUAUGUCGACAACAGGCUAGUAAUGCGAAAGAUGUGUAAUAUAUAAUAAAGCUGCAGAGAAUAAAUCCAAACCAUGAGAUUCUAUUCCUAUUUCUUAAAUACAGUCUGAUUGUGAAAUCAUUCUCCUAUACUCCUUUGUAAUUUUUUGGAGUAUUUUCAGGAAUUGCUGAUAUUUUACUCACAACAAAAAAAUACACAAAAUGAAUAACAAGUCAUAAAUAAAUCGAAAACAGGGAGUUUAUCUGUAAUGAUCUUUCCUAAGCCAUGGAUGGCAGAGCUAAAAUCUUGCCACCUCCUACAUUUGAUGAAUGAUACUGUGAUACUGCUGAUUUUGGUCUUAAUUUUUUAUUUUUGUUUUUAUUUAUUUUUAAGACCGAUUCUUGCUCUAUUGCCUAGGCUGGAGUGCAGUGGCACAAUCUCUACUCACUGCAACCUCCACCUGCCGGAUUCAAGGGAUUCUCCUGCCUCAGCCUCCCGAGUACAGGUGCCCACCCCACGCCCGGCUAAUUUUUUGUAUUUUUAGUACAGACGGGGUUUCACCGUGUUAGCCAGGAUGGUAUCAAUCUCCUCACCUUGUGAUCCACCCGCCUCGGCCUCCCAAAGUGCUGGGAUUAUAGGCGUGAGCCACAGCGCCCGGCUUUGGUCUUAAUUUUUUUUAAAAAGGGUCCUACGUUAUCACUGUAGCCUAAAACUAGAAAUGAAAAACAAAACAAAACAAAAAAAAACAGACUAUUGAGGGUUUCUUUCAUAAGGAAUUUCACCCAUUCUACUUUUGGAAAAAUGAAUGUUUGGAAAAUAUGCAAUUAGGUAUCAUCUUGGAUCAUAAAGAAAUUUGAAAGGAAAUUUUUAGAAGUUUUGAUUUUCUCAGUUUUUGCAACAGAUACUAAGCAUCUAAUCAUCCCUUGUGUGAAGAAAAGAAGAAGCUUCUUUUGACAAUGAUGUGUCUCAUUCUCAGGCUCUGUUUCUCUAACACGGGAUGCUGCAGAAGCAGCCACAUCUCCACCUUCCCACGACGCGGUUUUGUGUUUGGAGAGUACAGCAGCAGUUUAGGCAGCAACUAAGAACCAAGGAAACGUAUUCGUAAAUGCUCUUUGCCACAACUUCAUCUCCCUUUUCUCCCCGUCACCUCAAAAAACCCCCACACAGCCAACGAUAGACACAAUGCUCCUAGAAAAGGAAAAAGAAAAGGAGGAGGAGAAGACAAUACCAAAACGUGCAUUUUACUGUGUUGAUGCUAUUCAGGAUGCAAAUAGAAACAGCCAAAGUCCCAGCGCCUCAGCUGAGGGAAGACAGAAGCUGAACCAGGCGUGCGCUGUGGCUGUCCCCGUGCAGGCGGAGGAUCUGCGAACACCCCUGAUGCCGUACAAGGAUCACGAACCAGGAACCAAGAAGAGACAAACAGCCUGUCUUCUUCCUUGCAGCUUCUCCACCCACCCCUGACUAGUGAGUUUCCAUCCUGCACGCCUGUGCAUACGUGUGCUAGUGGCCUGUCACUGAGAAUUCUUCAGAACCAAAGAUGACUUCAACCCCCAGGGCCAUCAAGCAUCAGCUAUUAUUUUGCUUCUGCUGGGGCACACAAAUCAAGUUAGUUUCUACUCUUCAAGUGCACUUUCUUGCUUUGGAAGAGUUUUCUGAUUUCAGCUCCUGCUGCAGGCUUAAAUGGAACCUUACUGUGACCACGGCAGGAGGGACUUCUGCCUUCUCACAGCUUUCUGAUUGAGCUAAAAUUUUGAGGACAUUUCUAAGAAUUGCCACAGCUUAAUUCAACACUCUAAUUUUUGUUUAUGAUGCAAAUAAGAAUGGCCAUGGCUCUUCCUUAUACAUUUGAAUCGAUGAUUACAAAUAGCAUGUGUUGAACACGUUUCAUGAAAGAUUAACAGUUAUUUCACUUCACCCCUGCAGCAGCACCAAGGAGUAGAGAGUGUUACUGUCUCUGCUAGGAACAGAAAUGCAAAGUUUAAGGGGCUUGGCAAGAAGGCCACAUACCUAAGACACCCAUUCAGAUUCACCCAAGGCUCAUUUCCCUUCCAGGGCAGAGCUCCGGCACCUGUGCUGUGGGGAACCCACCACACUACAGAGCUUUAAAACCCUCACUUUGUGGGUGUCACAUCCUGCAGAGAAGCCUAGUCACUCUACAGGAGAUGUCACAGGGGAUCAGAUAAAUCUCAGGGGAAAGGGCUAGAGCUACUCUUUCGCCAGGAUUUGCACCUCUGAGGCUACUGGUGAAUCUUUCUUUAAGUCGGUAAAAUUUGUUUUUUAAUCCAAAAAUUCUCUGCGGAUCCUAGUUGGUUUUCAUGUUGGAUAAAUUUUGGCAAGACUCCAAAGGAGACCCCAGAGGCCGAGCGGGGGUAUGCUGUGGUGGGAAGAGAGUGCCCUUGGUGGAUUAGCAUUGCCCCUUUCAGACCCUUACCUGGUGUUAGUUUUCUAUGGCUUUGAACUCUCAUUAUUCUCACCUCUCAAAUGGGUAUAAUGAUAUCUACCUCAUGAGAUUACUGACAUAGAAGAAAGAACAUAUGCAGAGUGGCCAGCAAUUCCCAGCACAGAGUAGGUGCGUAGGGCGGGCUCCCAGGAAGCAGGUUCUGGGAAGCAGAUAUCCUGGUGGGUACCCUCAAGAGUAACUUACCUAAGGGAGGGAGGGGCCCGAUGGGCAGGGCGGAUGCCUAGCUGUGGUGCAGCUGCAAGUGAGACCUGUGCUGGUCAUUCGGGUGCUCUGGAGCUGGGAGCCCGUACACAUUUGAGGCAAGGUGCCUAGGCCUUGAGACCUCGCUGGGAACAGCCAUGAGAUUUGGUGCACCCCAGGGAGGGGCAUAUACCUUGGAAAAGAUGACUCCUUGGGGUGAGAGCAAUUCCUGGGGAGAGAUUCAGCUGGCGGCCUCCAGCAGCUCACCUUCCUGGAAGAUAGAAGUGUCUCCAGCCAGAGAGCCAUCUGGCAGUAUAGACAUCACUGCUUCCUCUGGUACAAGUGAGUUAGAACGUCCUGAACUUUUGAAGGUGUGCAUGAGGACAUACAAAUCUCGCUGACGGUGGCCAGUGCACUGUGAUCUGCCUGACCGAGAUUCUGGAAAACCAAGCUGCUGACAACUAGGGGUGCAAGAGCAUAAGCGAUGUAAAGAAAUAAAGAAUAAAGUCAACUAAAUUAUGGCAUCUCUCAUUCAAGAGCCUCAUGUGAUGGGAAGUAUGUGUUUCUUUCAAAGCCUCUGUUGCUUCUGAAGCCCCAUGAGACGAUCUUGUUGAUUCAUAAUCUUUAAUCCAGUCUUUAAGCUCUGACAGAUAAAGGACCAGGUACCAUUUCAUGUUCCUAAAGGGUAGGAGCGAGACCAUGAAGGCCUGGGUUCCACAGAGAAUAUGAUAAUUGCAUGGGGAAGUAUGAAAGUGAUGGCAUGCUUCUUAACUUUCAAAGAAGGGCAUCUUCUAAGUUGAUUUCCCUCAAGGUCUUAAGAAGGGCUGGAGGAAGGUAUCAAUUGUUUUGCAAUAACAAGAUUUCAUGACCAAGCAUGUUGAUGAAAUUUAGCACCCAUAUCUGAUUAAAAACUCUUUUUAAAACUAACAGUCAAAUGUUAAUGGAAAAACACUAGAUAAACAGUAAAUUAAGGAACAAAGGUCAUUAUGAUUAACGUUUCAAGUUAUUUUAUCCUUAGCCAAAGCAAUAAAAAGCAAUGUAAGUAAAUAAAAUGACUGGAAGAGAGUAAAAAAUCACUGUAAUCUGCGGAUGACGGAAUUGCCCUUUUAGUCAAGGCAGAUUUACAUGGAGUUAAUAAAUAUUAAGAUUUCAGGUCACACUUUUGCAUAGACCUCUGUAUAAUAUUUGCAAAACUAGUGUAUUUGUAUUAAAAUUGACGAAGACCAUGCUUUUCACCAUGUAUUCCUCCUUUAUAUUUCCUUUGUGUUUACUGGCAUUGAAGUGGCCACAAGCAUGUUGAGGAUCUGGGUAACUACAAGCCAAGUUAGGGCACCUGUGUUGGGACAGAUUAUGUAGCACUCAUUCCUUCAGGGCACCCCCAAGUAGGAAUGGCUUUUGCAAUAUACUUUCUUCUCACUGUGCCAUUGGACUUGACCUUGAACACAGUGUAGGAACAGGGGUCAAAUUGUUAUAGAUGUGUGGCCCAUGUUGCUCAGCAUCAGGAACUUGUAAGUAGAGUAGGAACUAAUUUGCCAUAAACAGAAUCAGAAGCUAGUCUGUAGGAAAGUAUCCCCCAAGCUAUGCAGAUCAUGUGAAUGAAAUGUGGCCUUUUCCAAAUUUGAUCACCAUCCUAAUAAUUUACAUGGCAUCCCCAACAGCAAGUUAUGAAAAAAAGGAAUUUUCCAACUAUCAAUAAUAAUAAACAACUUUUGAUCAACUGUGCUAGAGGUAAGACUAAAUUAUCUAUGUUGUUUUAUUAUUUUUUUUAGAGAUAGAUUCUGUCUCUGUCACCCAGACUGGAGUGCAGUGGUGCCAUCAUAGCUGACUGCAGCCUCUAACCACUGGACUCAAGCGACCUCCCUGCCUUAGUCUCCAGAGUAGCUAGGACUAUCGGUGCGUGCAACCAUGCCCAGCUAAUUUUUUUUUUUUUUUGUAAAGAUAGGGUCUCACUGUGUUGCCUAGGCUGGUCUCGAACUCCUGGCUUCAAGCGAUCCUCCAUCCUUGGCCUCCCAAAGUGUUGGGAUUACAGACAUGAGCCACUGUGCCUGGCCUCUAUAUUCUGUAUAGAAAAAUAUUCAUUAUUCAUCAACAUGUGAAGAGGUGAUCAAACAGCAUUUGGCUAAAAAGGUAUGAAAAGGAGAAUUGGAAACAGGUGUCAAGUAAUUCAUGAAUAAGAUCUUAUGUUGCCCUUCUGGAGUGUAUGCAUUUUCUAGUAUUGGUUAAUUUAAAAAAAUAAAUUUGGUGUUGUGAUUUCUUUACUUAUUUUAAAUAUUCUUUUAAUACUUGAUUUUGUAUUCAUAUUUUUAAUUUUUUUCAGGUGAUUAGGUAUCUUCAGAUAAAUAUUUGGUCUUUCAUUUUAGACCCUCUCAUGCCCGGCCCACCCACACACAAAUACAUUCUCUUUCUCAUUCUGGUAUGUUGGUAUGGGAAUAGGCCAAGCAGUAAUGUGGCCCAGCCAAGGACCAGGGAGCUUUGGAGGUGGAACUGCACCGUGGGGCCUCCCAGGGAAUGCCUUUCACUCUCUCAUGUCCUUAGAUAUCACCAUACUUCCUUGGAUGGACACAUUCAAGAUCAGUGUUACCUGCCAAUUCUUGGAUCAUUCCAAAAUUUGGCGUUGAAUCAACUCCCUUUCCUCUUGAAUGUCCCACAAUGCCCUGCGAUAAG
rnacentral:lncRNA from 1 species